rnacentral:rRNA from 1 species
UACAGAGGUGGCAAGCGUUGUUCGGAAUUACUGGGCGUAAAGGGCGCGUAGGCGGCCAUCUAAGUCAGACGUGAAAUCCCCCGGCUUAACCUGGGAAUUGCAGUCGAUACUACUCAGCUCGAGUAUGGGAGAGGGUAGUGGAAUUCCCGGUGUAGCGGUGAAAUGCGUAGAUAUCGGGAGGAACAUCAGUGGCGAAGGCGGCUACCUGGCCCAAUACUGACACUCAGGUGCGACAGCGUGGGGAGCAAACAGG